GUCGCUGUGGUGUAGUGGUUAUCACGUUUGCUUUACACGCAAAAGGUCUCCGGUUCGAACCCGGGCAGCGACA